UUCCCCCGCUUCCGAGGACUUUGGCGCGUGACGCGAGAAAUGGAUUUCGAAUGCGGCGACGCGGGCGCGUGGAGAGCGGCGCUCGGCGCGUACGCGGCGCGCGUGGAGACCCUCGCCGGCGCCGCCGCGUCCAAGCGCGAGCUCCUUCCCCUCGACUCCUUCUACCGCGGCGACCUCCCCCUCCUCCUCCGCCGCCGCGGCCCAAAACCCUUCCUCUCCAAAUCCGAGCUCCUCCGCGUCGUCCAAUGGAAGCUCUCGCGCGGCCAAUGGAGGCCCCGGCUCAUGGGCUACGCGGAGGCGCUCGGAGAGGCCGAGGUCGAGGCCGCGUCGCGCGCGGCGUUCGCGGCGAUCCCGGACCUCGCCCGCGCCGUGUCCGAGCUCACGGCGCUCAAGGGGGUCGGCCCCGCCACCGCCUCGGCGAUCCUCGCCGCGUUCGCCCCAGAAAUCGCCCCGUUCAUGUCCGACGAGGCUAUGAUGGUUGCUAUGGGGAACAAGGAGUAUACGCUCAAGCACUAUCUUGCGUUCGCGGAGAAGCUACAAAAAAAGGCUAAGGAAUUAAGCGUCGACGGGGAGAGUUUCACCCCGACAGAUAUUGAGAGGGCCCUGUGGAGCUCUGUUGUGGGCUCAAAAGCGCUCAGUUCUUCCGAGAAGGAUGUUCCAAAAGCCGAUGCCAAGAGAAGCAGCAAAAGAAAAAGAAAGCCUUGAGCUGAAGCUUCUUCAGUUUUCGUCAGUGUCGUCUAUAUCGCAGCAUUGGAAGAUUCUGGUGAAGAAAUUUACAAUCCUUGCAUGCCAAUAACUAGUAUUAAGAGGGUAGGGGGGAAGAAACAAACUUCUGCAGCAUUUCGAAAAUGUCGUAUAUUUUAUAUUUAGAAUGACAAGCUGUUAUCAUGUUACUGAGAUUGGGAGUGUCAGGGGAUUUGUACGUCGUUGUUA